rnacentral:rRNA from 1 species
CACGUAGGGCGCAAGCGUUGUCCGGAAUUAUUGGGCGUAAAGAGCUCGUAGGCGGUCUGUUGCGUCCGCUGUGAAAACUCGGGGCUUAACCCCGAGCCUGCAGUGGAUACGGGCAGACUAGAGUGCGGUAGGGGAGACUGGAAUUCCUGGUGUAGGCGGUGGAAUGCGCAGAUAUCAGGAGGAACACCAAUAGCGAAGGCAGCUCGCUGGGACGUUACUGACACUGAGGCGCGAAAGCGUGGGGAGCGAACAGG